rnacentral:lncRNA from 1 species
ACAACCAAACUGCACAGAAUUCCAGUAGACUAAAACUGAUAUUUCUGGUUCCUUCGUAUUGAAAGAUUGUCAGGUUAUGGGAUUUCUAAACAGCAGACUUUAAUCAUGUCAAUCCCUGAUAUUGCACCGAGUUAUCAAUUGGAGAGCAGUUUUCACUGGUGUAAUGAGUACGCUGGGAGUCGGGAAGCAAGUUCAGGAAGUGUAUUGAAUAAAUAAAUGAACAUAGAACAAAACAAGAAACACGAGUAGUGUACAGACAUGAAACACUGAAACAGGAAAAAAUAACGUCUAGGGAAAGAACCAAAGGAAGUGACCGAACAUAGGGAAGAUAAUCAGGAAGGUGAUGAAGUCCAGGUGAGUCUGAUGAGUCGCUGGUGCGCGAAACGAUGGUGACAGGUGUGCGUAGUAAUGAGCAGCCUGGUGACCUAGAGCGUUGGAGAGGGAAUAUAUGUGACACCAGGGACUAUUAAAAUGUACAUUACUGCCUGCUGUAACUUCAGCACUUUAGAUUACUGUAUUGUCAAUGAUGUUGCUGUUAGUUCAAUGUAAUUUCUGUCCAGGUUAGCUCAAGGUCUAGGCCUGUCCUGAGCCAAGCUGAAGGUAAUUUACUCAUAUUUGAUUGCCUGAUAUCAUGUCAUUAUUGAUGUUCUGCACACUCCGAACUCUGCAGAAAUAUAGACCCAAGAUAAAUAAGGGGAGUUGGUAGCAUGACAUCUAAUUUCAUAGUGCAUGUCCAGGCAGCUAUAGCAGAUUAAAAUGAACCAGGAUGUUCUUUCAGAGGACUCCCCUUUUUUUUUUGACAUUCGAUCAUGACUGAAUCAACUCGGCUGGCUUUUUAGAAAAUUCAUAACAGCUUGCAUUGGAGUUUCCAAUGCCAGCCUGUGAUAUAAAGAGCAGCUCAAUCCUCAGUCUUCCACAGAUUUACUGAAGGCAUUUAACUGAAUUGGGGCUCCAUACGGUUCAUAUUCCUUUAGCUGGAGGGCAUACUUUUCUCUCUAAUGUAUUGAUAUUUGGUUACUCACUGGAUAUGGAUGUAUUGUGCAUUAAUGUAUAGAGAUUAUGUAAAUCAGCAACUGCUGAAAUAGAUCUUCAUGUGGUUUGAUAUUCUACAGAUGUGAAUGGAUAAUCUCUCUGGCACCACUAUGAUGGGUUAGGGCAGAAGAGUCCUACUCGCAUGGAUAAGUCUGAGCCUGUUUGUGAGUUUCCAUACAGUCACAGGUAAGAAUGUAUGUUCUGUUUAAUUCACAUUUAACAACUAUGAAAUGCUUUGAUUAGCUGUAAACAAAAAGAUAUAUAUAUAUAUAUAUAUAUAUAUAUAUGAGAUUGUAUUAAACAAUUUGGUAUGGCUGUAAAUCGCUCCUUUCCCAAUUAAUGCAUCAUUUGACAGACUACUACAUUCCCUUUUCUAU